rnacentral:misc_RNA from 1 species
AGUCGUAACAAGGUAUCCGUAGGUGAACCUGCGGAUGGAUCAUUACCAAAGAUCUUUCUUUACGUACUGUGAACCGUCUUGAACCGGCAGUCAGGCACGAGCACUGGCUUUAGCCAUCUGGCAUGUAGUAGUGACUAGGGGCCCUGGCGCCCCUUGGCGCCUGCUGCUGCCGAUCUACUGCCAGUCUCGCAGCUUGCUGCCAAACUAAACGUACUAUCAUUAUUUAGACUAAAGUAAUGUUGCUUGAACUUGAACAACUUUUAGCAAUGGAUCUCUAGGCUCUC